rnacentral:rRNA from 1 species
AGAGUUUGAUCAUGGCUCAGAACGAACGCUGGCGGCGUGCCUAACACAUGCAAGUCGAACGAGAAAGCGGGCUUCGGCCCGUGAGUAAAGUGGCAGACGGGUGAGUAACACGUGGGUAACCUGCCCGGAGGUGUGGGAUAACUCUCCGAAAGGAGGGCUAAUACCGCAUGAUACUUCGGUCUCUUCGGGGACCGGAUUCAAAGCUUGCCUCUACACGUAAGCAAGCGCCACCGGAGGGGCCCGCGCCCCAUUAGCUAGUUGGUGAGGUAACGGCUCACCAAGGCGACGAUGGGUAGCCGGCCUGAGAGGGUGAUCGGCCACACUGGAACUGAGACACGGUCCAGACUCCUACGGGAGGCAGCAGUGAGGAAUAUUGCGCAAUGGGCGAAAGCCUGACGCAGCGACGCCGCGUGGAGGACGAAGGUCUUCGGAUCGUAAACUCCUGUCAAGAGGGACGAAUCCCGGGCGGAUGAAUAAGCCGAACGGUGACG